GACGAACGCUGGCGGCGUGCUUAACACAUGCAAGUCGAACGGAAAGGCCCUGCUUUUGUGGGGUGCUCGAGUGGCGAACGGGUGAGUAACACGUGAGUAACCUGCCCUUGACUUUGGGAUAACUUCAGGAAACUGGGGCUAAUACCGGAUAGGAGCUCCUGCUGCACGGGGGGGGUUGGAAAGUUUCGGCGGUUGGGGAUGGACUCGCGGCUUAUCAGCUUGAUGGUGGGGUAGUGGCUUUCCAAGGCUUUGACGGGUAGCCGGCCUGAGAGGGUGACCGGCCACAUUGGGACUGAGGUACGGCCCAGACUCCUACGGGAGGCAGCGGUGGGGAAUAUUGCACAAUGGGCGGAAGCCUGAUGCAGCAACGCCGCGUGCGGGAUGACGGCCUUCGGGUUGUAAACCGCUUUCGCCUGUGACGAAGCGUGAGUGACGGUAAUGGGUAAAGAAGCACCGGCUAACUACGUG
rnacentral:rRNA from 1 species